rnacentral:lncRNA from 1 species
GAUAUGCAUAUACCAUCUGGAGAGCAAAAUUUCAGCUAAUAAGCAUGUCUUUUAUUUGCGAUCAAGCUAAUAAGCAUGUCAGUACAUGCCUUUUUCAUGCCUAAUCCAACUCAAAGACAUAGAAGGUCGAAUGGAAUAAUGUUUGGUCUCGAAUAAGCCUACAAACUAUUGCGGGGUGUUCCUAUCUUCUAUUAUAUUAAUAUAUAAACGAAUUGAAAGGAACCCUGCGUUCACCGAGAGAGCCUAGAAAUUAUGAGAUUAAUUGGGAAAAAGAAAAAGAAAAGUCUAUUGUUACAUUUUAUGAUGAUCUAACUGUCGAGAAUAAAUAGAGUAUCAGAAAAACAAAAUACGCACCCUC